GUGAGGAAUUUUCCGCAAUGGGCGAAAGCCUGACGGAGCAAUGCCGCGUGAAGGAUAAAGGCCUAUGGGUUGUAAACUUCUUUUCUCAGAAAAGAAUUAUGACGGUAUCUGAGGAAUAAGCAUCGGCUAACUCUGUGCCAGCAGCCGCGGUAAGACAGAGGAUGCAAGCGUUAUCCGGAAUGAUUGGGCGUAAAGCGUCUGUAGGUUGUUUAAAAAGUAUUCUGUCAAAGAUUAGGGCUUAACCCUAGAUAGGCAGAAUAAACUUUUAAGCUAGAGUUUGGUAGAGGCAGAGGGAAUUCCCGGUGGAGCGGUGAAAUGCGUAGAUAUCGGGAGGAACACCAAAAGCGAAGGCACUCUGCUGGGCCAAUACUAACACUGAGAGACGAAAGCGAGGGGAGCAAAUGGGAUUAGAAACCCUAGUAGUCC
rnacentral:rRNA from 1 species